AACUUUUGAGAACGGAUCACUUGGUUCUCGCAUCGAUGAAGAACGCAGCGAAAUGCGAUAAGUAAUGUGAAUUGCAGAAUUCAGUGAAUCAUCGAAUCUUUGAACGCACCUUGCACUCCUUGGUAUUCCGAGGAGUAUGCCUGUUUGAGUGUCAUUAAAUUCUCUCAAAUCUAAUCCCUUUGCUGGGUGUUAGACUUGGAUGUGAGGGUUGCCGGUUCUUAUUGGAAUCAGCUCCCUUUAAAUGCAUUAGUAGAGCUAUUCUCGUUUGGUGUUUCAUAGUCUAUCAGUGCCAAUUUUUAGAGUCUUAGUUUUUCUGCUUACAACCCUUUUCGUCUUAAGACGAUGAUUUUGACUAUUUGACCUCAAAUCAGGUAGGACUACCCGCUGAACUUAAGCAUAUCAAUAAGCGGAGGCU
rnacentral:misc_RNA from 1 species